AACGAACGCUGGCGGCAUGCCUAACACAUGCAAGUCGAACGAGAUCUUCGGGUCUAGUGGCGCACGGGUGCGUAACGCGUGGGAAUUUGCCCUUUGGUUUGGAAUAACAGUUGGAAACGGCUGCUAAUACCGGGUGAUGACGAAAGUCCAAAGAAUUAUCGCCAGAGGAUGAGCCCGCGUAGGGUUAGCUAGGUGGUGUGGUAAAGGCGCACCAAGGCGACGAUCCUUAGAUGGUCUGAGAGGGUGAUCAGCCACACUGGGACUGAGACACCGCCCAGACUCCUACGGGAAGCAGCAGUGGGGAAUAUUGGACAAUGGGCGAAAGCCUGAUCCAGCAAUGCCGCGUGAGUGAUGAAGGCCUUAGGGUUGUAAAGCUCUUUUACCCGGGAUGAUAAUGACAGUACCGGGAGAAUAAGCUCCGGCUAACUCCGUGCCAGCCGCCGCGGUAA
rnacentral:rRNA from 1 species